rnacentral:rRNA from 1 species
UACAGGGGGGGCAAGCGUUGUUCGGAAUUACUGGGCGUAAAGGGUCUGUAGGUGGCCAACUAAGUCAGACGUGAAAUCCCUCAGCUUAACUGGGGAACUGCGUCUGAUACUGGAUGGCUUGAGUGUGGGAGAGGAGUGCGGAAUUCCAGGUGUAGCGGUGAAAUGCGUAGAUAUCUGGAGGAACACCGGUGGCGAAGGCGGCAUUCUGGACCAUAACUGACACUGAGAGACGAAAGCCAGGGGAGCAAACGGG